rnacentral:rRNA from 1 species
AGUGAAGCGGUAACAGCUCAAAUUUGAAAUCUGGCCUCACGGUCCGAGUUGUAAUUUGUAGAGGAUGCUUCGAGCAUGGUCUGGCCUAAGUUCCUUGGAACAGGACGUCAUAGAGGGUGAGAAUCCCGUAUGCGGCCAGGUGCCUACGCUCAUGUGAAGCUCCUUCGACGAGUCGAGUUGUUUGGGAAUGCAGCUCAAAAUGGGUGGUAAAUUUCAUCUAAAGCUAAAUAUUGGCCAGAGACCGAUAGCGCACAAGUAGAGUGAUCGAAAGAUGAAAAGCACUUUGGAAAGAGAGUUAAACAGUACGUGAAAUUGUUGAAAGGGAAGCGCUUGCAACCAGACUUGCGCGCGGCCGAUCAUCCCGGUGUUCUCACCGGUGCACUCGGCCGUGCUCAGGCCAGCAUCGGUUUUGGCGGCUGGAUAAAGGCCCUAGGAAUGUAGCUCCUCUCGGGGAGUGUUAUAGCCUAGGGUGCAAUGCAGCCUGCUGGGACCGAGGACCGCGCUUCGGCUAGGAUGCUGGCGUAAUGGUUGUAAGCGGCCCGUCUUGAAACACGGACCAAGGAGUCUAACAUCUAUGCGAGUGUUUGGGUGUCAAACCCAUACGCGUAAUGAAAGUGAACGGAGGUGAGAACCCUUAAGGGUGCAUCAUCGACCGGUCCUGAAGUUUACGGAAGGAUCUGAGUAAGAGCAUAGCUGUUGGGACCCGAAAGAUGGUGAACUAUGCCUGAAUAGGGUGAAGCCAGAGGAAACUCUGGUGGAGGCUCGCAGCGGUUCUGACGUGCAAAUCGAUCGUCAAAUUUGGGUAUAGGGGCGAAAGACUAAUCGAACCAUUGACCUGUAGGAACACUACUAGGUGGUUAAGAGGCGGCUAAAAGUGCCGUCUAGUCCCGACGCCGGGGCGACACUGUCAAAUUGCGGGAACAUCCUUAGAGCCUAGACUACCGCAGCCUUCCUGAAAGGGGGGUGCGCACCAGGGUAAUGACCUCGGGUAUGGUAAUAACGUCUAGGAUUGGACAAUCCGCAGCCAAGCCCUACGGACCUCGGUCUAUGGGUGCAGUUCAUCGACUAGAUGGCAGUGGGUGGCAGCAAUGCCGCUUAAGAUAUAGUCAGACCCCCGGGAGACCGGGCGGCAGAACGAAGACCGUGGGGGGCGUCCUCUCUGAGAGCCCCGCGGUCCCGAGUCUGCUGGUGGCGUCG